rnacentral:rRNA from 1 species
AGCUCCAAUAGCGUAUAUUAAAGUUGCUGCAGUUAAAAAGCUCGUAGUUGGAUUUGUGGCGCGGUCGUCCGGCGGGGCUUCCGGUUUCAUAGUAUCCCGGGGCCGUUUGUCUGGGUUCUUGGCCGCCCCAUUCUUCGGUUGCGUGUCGCUGGCAUUAGGUUGUCGGCUUCUUCGCGCCGAUCGUUUACUGUGAAAAAAUUAGAGUGUUCAAAGCAGGCGUUUGCCGUGAAUACAUUAGCAUGGAAUAAUAGAAUAGGACUUGGUUUCUAUUUUGUUGGUUUGUGAGAGCCGAGUAAUGAUUAAGAGGGACGGUUGGGGGCAUUUGUAUUCCAGCGUCAGAGGUGAAAUUCUUGGAUUGCUGGAAGACAAACCGCUGCGAAAGCGUCUGCCAAGGACGUUU